rnacentral:tRNA from 1 species
GGGGAUUUAGCUCAGUGGUUCCAGCACCUGCCUCGAAAGCCUAAGGGCCUGAGUUCAAUUCCCGGUAACCCCU